UUUUUUGGACAAACACGUGUUAAUUGAACAGGUUGUUGAAUGUAUCGAUAUGGAAGAACGAAAAGAACACGGAAAAGAAAACAAACCAGAGAGGGGGGAAUCUUCGUGUCAACAGAACUCAUUUCUUUAUGCAAAUGGAUGAAAGUAGAAUCCAACAAGCAUGGCUUCCGAUGGAAAUGUCAUUUAUGUCCAGCCCAUUUCUCAGAUACUGGGAGGGGCAUGAUGACAAAGAGUCGUCUGUUUCCCGGUGACCUUCUUAUAUCCAUACCCAGACCAUUACUGAUCACCGUGGAAACAGUUCUGUCCUCAGAAAUAGGGGAACAAGUCAAAUGUAAAAAUGUAAAGUUUACCAGACAACAGCUGCUCUCUCUCUUUCUCCUUCAAGAAAAAAACAAGGGAAACAACUCUUUCUGGCAUCCCUACAUUUUUGUUCUCCCUAAGACUCUUGAAACAUUUGGAAAUUUCUCACCAAGGGAGAUGACUCUGUUUCCACCAAGGCUUCAAAUUGCUGUGAAGUCUAGAAUGGCAGACAUGAAGCAGGCAUAUAUGGAAGUGAGAAACUUUUGGUCAGGAGAGGAAAUUGAGUACAGCCAAUUUUUGUGGGCAUGGUUUUGUGUAAAUUCUCGCUCUGUGUUCUACCGGUCAGCAGGGUCAGAGUUUGUGAGAGAGGACGGGAACCACUUGGCACUGGCUCCAUACCUGGAUCUGCUGAACCACUCAGUGGGGGCUCAGGUAGAGGCGGGUUACAAUCAGGAGAGUGGUUGCUAUGAAAUCUACACAGGUGGCACGUACAGGAAGCACAGCCAGGUGUUUAUUUCCUAUGGUAACCAUGACAACUACCACCUCCUAGUGGAGUAUGGCUUCACUCUACCAGACAACCCUAACGAUGUCUUCCAAGUAGAAUAUAAUGAUGUGUUGAAUGCCGCCUUAUCUUUGGGUGUGGAUAACAUGGAGAAGAAGAAAGAAAUUAUACAACAGCAAAGCUUCCACAGACAAUUGGUUUGCUCUAUGGAAGGUUUGUCCUGGAACCUACUCCUGGUCACAAGAAUUUUAGCCAUGAACUGGACAGAGCUUUUACCUCAGAUCAAAUAGGUCAUCAGUGUUUGAUGACAUGAAUAUUUUCAGAGAGCAGUGGAAGUUGGUGCUGACUGGAUUUGCAAUGUCUGAUCGUAACAACACAUUGUCCAGACAGAUCGCAAGAACAUUCCUCACCAAGUACAUCAAACAGAAUCAGGAUCUGAUCACCAAGUUUGAUACUCCACUGUCUCCAAACACGGUUGAAUCUAUGGUUUUUUCUAUUGUACAAACCGAGAGGAAUAUUCUACAGUUAACUUGGACUUCAGUGACUUGACAACUACAAUACGUUUAUCUAGGCACCCAGCGACCAAGAGAUGUGCCAGCUACAAGAUCUAUAGACAAAGUGAUUCCAUUGUCUCUGUCAGAGGCAAAGUGAUUGGCCACAAUAUUAGUUUACAUUCCAUCAUGGUGUAGAUGGGCUAAAAUAUCGGUAGGGAUAACAUAUGGAUGUAGAAAGUGAUGGGCUACAAUAUCGGUAUAGGGAUAACAUAUGGAUGUGGAAAGUGAUGGACUAUAUUACAUGUAUUAGCAGGGAUUCAAUCGUGAUUCUGAAAGUGAUGGGCUACAAUAUCGGUAGGCAAUUCCAUUUUGGUAUAAAAAGGACGUCUACUUAAUGCACCAGAUAAUUGCUAGAGGACUACAUCACUAAUGUUAAAGAAUGUUCUUGAUGAUCGUACUCUGUUCAGCCAGGACAUUUGGAAUUUAAUGACUGAGGAUGAACUGUUUAAGAAUAUGUAUAUGAUGUUGAACUAGAUGUCUUCGUUUAAGUAACAUAAUAGUUUAUAAUUAUAAUAAAUCAAAGUUUAUUAUAUGUUUAAAUGAUCAAUGGUUACUAGGUUUGUGAAAAUCCCAAAAAAAGAAAUCAAUACAAAUCGUAUAGAACUAAUGAUUCAAGUCACGAUUAUCUAUAAUUCUUUAAUUAUUGCCGUGUACAAACAAGUAUUCGGAUUUCUUAACAAUAGUUUGAUUUCGGUAUUAUUUUUUUUUAUUGAAUAAGGUAUCUAGUUUUUAAAUGAGGAGUAAACAAAGAAAUAUUACAUCUAGUUUAACAAAAUUCCUGCAAGAAUAACCAAACAGAACUUGUAGAAAUGGAUAUUGAGUAAACCAUUUUUUAUUCUCCAUGUCUUUUAUUAUUGUGCUUGACAUGUGAGAAAAUCGUUUGUUUUGCAACUGAGCACAUGUUACAUGUGAUAAUCAAAUUUGACCUUUAUUGAUUAUUUUUUUAUGUCCCCUAUGAUUCUGUGUUAAAAACGUCUACAAUCUAGAACUUAGACAAACCAACAUGACACAAAACAACAUGAAUAAAAUAUUAUCAAUGGUUACACAAC
rnacentral:misc_RNA from 1 species